rnacentral:rRNA from 1 species
GGGACACGUGGUAUCCUGUCUGAAUAUGGGGGGACCAUCCUCCAAGGCUAAAUACUCCUGACUGACCGAUAGUGAACCAGUACCGUGAGGGAAAGGCGAAAAGAACCCCGGCGAGGGGAGUGAAAAAGAACCUGAAACCGUGUACGUACAAGCAGUGGGAGCACCUUCGGGUGUGACUGCGUACCUUUUGUAUAAUGGGUCAGCGACUUAUAUUCUGUAGCAAGGUUAACCGUAUAGGGGAGCCGCAGGGAAACCGAGUCUUAACUGGGCGUUAAGUUGCAGGGUAUAGACCCGAAACCCGGUGAUCUAGCCAUGGGCAGGUUGAAGGUUGGGUAACACUAACUGGAGGACCGAACCGACUAAUGUUGAAAAAUUAGCGGAUGACUUGUGGCUGGGGGUGAAAGGCCAAUCAAACCGGGAGAUAGCUGGUUCUCCCCGAAAGCUAUUUAGGUAGCGCCUCGUGAACUCAUCUUCGGGGGUAGAGCACUGUUUCGGCUAGGGGGUCAUCCCGACUUACCAACCCGAUGCAAACUACGAAUACCGAAGAAUGUUAUCACGGGAGACACACGGCGGGUGCUAACGUCCGUCGUGAAGAGGGAAACAACCCAGACCGCCAGCUAAGGUCCCAAAGUCAUGGUUAAGUGGGAAACGAUGUGGGAAGGCACAGACAGCCAGGAUGUUGGCUUAGAAGCAGCCAUCAUUUAAAGAAAGCGUAAUAGCUCACUGGUCGAGUCGGCCUGCGCGGAAGAUGUAACGGGGCUAAACCAUGCACCGAAGCUGCGGCAGCGACACUAUGUGUUGUUGGGUAGGGGAGCGUUCUGU